rfam:Dipodomys ordii contig_51595, whole genome shotgun sequence.
GGGAAGUUGGCUCAGUGGUAGAGUGCUUGCCUUGCAUGCAUGAGGCCUUGGGUUUGAUUCCUCAGCACCACA